CCUACGGGAGGCAGCAGUGAGGAAUAUUGGUCAAUGGCCGUAAGGCUGAACCAGCCAAGUCGCGUGAAGGAAGAAGGAUCUAUGGUUUGUAAACUUCUUUUAUAGGGGAAUAAAGGUAUCCACGUGUGGAUAUUUGCAUGUACCCUAUGAAUAAGCAUCAGCUAACUCCGUGCCAGCAGCCGCGGUAAUACGGAGGAUGCGAGCGUUAUCCGGAUUUAUUGGGUUUAAAGGGUGCGUAGGUUGUUUUUUAAGUCAGCGGUGAAAGUUUGUGGCUCAACCAUAAAAUUGCCGUUGAAACUGGAAGACGUGAGUGUGUUUGAGGUAGGCGGAAUGCGUGGUGUAGCGGUGAAAUGCAUAGAUAUCACGCAGAACUCCGAUUGCGAAGGCAGCUUACUAAGCCAUAACUGACACUGAAGCACGAAAGCGUGGGGAUCAAACAGGAUUAGAUACCCCGGUAGUC
rnacentral:rRNA from 1 species